UACUUAACCAACUGAGCCACCCAGGUGCCCCAGGAAGUGACAGCUUUUUCUACUGUACAUAAAGACUUGCUUGAGUCAGGGCAUGAUGUGGGUACCAUUUUAAAUAGAAAGAAACAAAGACCAUGGAAGACAAACUAGAAAACAAAAGUACUGAGCAGGAGGGAAGCCAAGGGGAAACGGGCCAAAGCAGAGGCAGGCAGGCUACAAGGUGACUCUUCCCACCUCCUCAACCAGGAGAUGUUGCUUUUCCUUAACCAUGUUCUUGCCACAGCACCAGCUCUCAAGAUGGCAAAUCAGAAACAAAACUACAGGUUAGAAUAGCAGGUGGUGGAAGGCCAUAAAGAAAAAUAUCUUCCCUCU